GGGGGAUUAGCUCAGCUGGGAGAGCGCGGCACUCGCAUUGCCGAGGUCGGGGGUUCGACUCCCCUAUCCUCCACCA
rnacentral:tRNA from 1 species